ACCUUAUCAAGAGAGGCUGAGGGAAAGGCCCUGUGAAGCCCGGCAACCUGCACAUGGAUGCAAGGUGCCAAUUCCUGCGGAGUGGAUAACCGUGCAGAUGAGGA
rnacentral:ncRNA from 2 species